rnacentral:lncRNA from 1 species
AAAAUAUUGUCAUUUUAUAUAUCUGGUCCAAUAUUAUUCUAUGUUUAUAUGGGUUCCCAUUACAUUACAUUUAGCACCAAAAAUGAAAUUAAAAAAAGAAAAAGAAAGAAAGAAAAGUGGUUUUUUUUUUUUUUUUCUUGCUACAUGCCUCCCUCUACUUCCUUCUUUCUUUAGCAUGUUUCCUUGUACGCCUCCCCCUGUUUUUCGGCUUCAAGAAGCAGUUUCCCCUCCCCUAUUUUAGUUUUUGUUUACCUUCUUUAUCAUCUUCACCAUUAGUACAUUCAAUCAAAAAGAUAAGCCACCUUUUACCUUAAUUAUCUGAUAUGGUUCAACUUUUACAAGAAAACAAUAAUAAAUUGAGAACUCAAUUUUAUCUCAUGAACACAAACAUUCAUCUUUUAAGAUUAUAAAUUGAGAACAAAAAAUCACCAAAGGAGGAAGAGUUUUUUUAAACUGAAGAAAAAAAUAAAAAUAAAGAAAUAGAAAGUGAGACGUAGAAGAGAAAC